CUAUUCUUUGUGUAAUUGCUUUUACUAUUACUCAGGUUUUAUCUUUUUCACUUUUUUCCGCUUCUAUUAUUUUUUUGACCCUUGUAUGAGGUUUUUUUAGUUUGACUUGUAAAUAGAAUUUAGGUGUCCCUUAUUUGAACUUGUUAGGCCUAUCUAAACUAAUUUUCUUUAUCUAAUUUAUUUUUCUUUAUCCACUCUUACUUCCGGAAAGUGAAAAGAACAAGACGUUAAUCUUCCACAUGUAUAAAUGUGGAGAAUCAAAUGUGGAAAUAUAUCUACUAAACAGUUUAGAGAUCGAUGAGAGGUUGCUAAAUUGUAUAACAAGUACAGCUAAUGAGCCAUUCUUUUAAUCUCUUUAAAUGUAUGUGUCUUAAGUAAGGAAGGAGCUGCCACUGGGAGUCACCUGUUCCUACACUGUGAACUGUGAAGUUACUGCUUUUGGGUGAUAUAGUUCGUUUGAUAUUAGUGGGAGAGAUGAACCUGUCCAGUGACUAUGAGGAGAAUUAUAUUAGUGGAUGAACUAGUUUUUCUUCAUUUACUUCUGUGUUACUCGUGGACGAGUUCUGCUUGUCCCCUAGGGAACUCUUUAAUACAUGGAUAAAUAGAUCAUUUUGCUGCUUCACAUGCGUAGCUUUACUUUGGGUAGCUGUUAGCAAUUUGCUUCUGUACUCUUUUAUGCAAUUUUAUUCUUUUUAGACAGUAAUAUGGAUGAAGGUGAACACUUUAGGUGCAGAGCACAAGAAGUCUGCUAAGUUAAACACUAUAAAUCUCCAUUUAGCUUUUUUGAAGAAUGGGAGCCUGAAGCCAAAGAGGCUCCAUGUUUUGGUAUAAAAUCAGGAAAGGCUUCACAAUAUUAGAAUGUCGUAAACGUUAUAUCUUAUCGCGAGCUGCUAUUGCAUUCCGCAUUUUUAAAGCAAGAUUGAGAAAGGAGUGGUUGUACACUUCCAGGGGACAACUGGUGAAGACAAAACCAGGGUUAUAUCCAUGGAUCACUCAGGAAGACUAGGACCAAUUUCUUAAAACAUCAAUAGAUCCUAAGUUUAAGGAAUUAAGUGAAAAAAAUCGGAAAAAAGUGAAGGAUAAUAGAAAAUCAAGCUAUCGUGUUGAGGAAGAGAUUGCAAAGGACCUUGAGAAGAGAGGGAUAAAUGCGCAUAUAGUUCCUCGACAUUUGACCAGGCUUAGAGCUCAUUCUGAUGUCAAAGAUGGAACAAUGAUAUUUAAGAAUCCUAAUGAUUUAAAAAUCGCUGAAUCAAUUGUACGAAACUUUUAGCACAUUUUAUAAGUUAGAUUACUGUAAUUGUAAUAAUAUAAAUUAUAGUAACUUUAAUAUAUAAAAUUGUUCUUGGUUCUA